CUGCAGUGAGGAAUAUUGCGCAAUGGGGGCAACCCUGACGCAGCAACGCCGCGUGGGUGAAGAAGGCCUUCGGGUUGUAAAACCCUUUUCUGGGGGGAAGAGCGAGGACGGUACCCCAGGAAUAAGUCCCGGCUAACUACGUGCCAGCAGCCGCGGUAAAACGUAGGGGGCAAGCGUUAUCCGGAUUUACUGGGCGUAAAGCGCGUGCAGGCGGCUUGGUAGGUUGGACGUGAAAGCUCCUGGCUCAACUGGGAGAGGCCGUUCAAUACCGCCGGGCUUGAGGGCGGAAGAGGGGAGUGGAAUUCCCGGUGUAGUGGUGGAAUGCGUAGAGAUCGGGAGGAACACCUGUGGCGAAGGCGGCUCCCUGGUCCGCACCUGACGCUCAAGCGCGAAAGCGUGGGGAGCGAACGGGAUUAGAUACCCCGGUAGUCCACGCUGUAAACGAUGGAUGCUAGGUGUGGGUGGUAUUGACCCCAUCCGUGCCGUAGCUAACGCGUUAAGCAUCCCGCCUGGGGACUACGGCCGCAAGGCUA
rnacentral:rRNA from 1 species